rnacentral:rRNA from 1 species
GACGAACGCUGGCGGCGUGCCUAAUACAUGCAAGUUGAGCGCUGAAGGUUGGUACUUGUACCAACUGGAUGAGCAGCGAACGGGUGAGUAACGCGUGGGGAAUCUGCCUUUGAGCGGGGGACAACAAUUGGAAACGAAUGCUAAUACCGCAUAAUAACUUUAAACACAAGUUUUAAGUUUGAAAGAUGCAAUUGCAUCACUCAAAGAUGAUCCCGCGUUGUAUUAGCUAGUUGGUGAGGUAAAGGCUCACCAAGGCGGUGAUACAUAGCCGACCUGAGAGGGUGAUCGGCCCCAUUGGGACUGGGACACGGCCCCAACUCCUUCGGGAGGCAGCCGUAGGGGAUCUUCGGCCAUGGACGAAAGUCUGACCGAGCAACGCCGCGUGAGUGAAGAAGGUUUUCGGAUCGUAAAACUCUGUUGGUAGAGAAGAACGUUGGUGAGAGUGGAAAGCUCAUCAAGUGACGGUAACUACCCAGAAAGGGACGGCUAACUACGUG